GAGAAAUGAGGAUAUUAUAUAGUCUGGAUUUAUUGAUGAAGACUACAGAUCCAACUCUGAUCUCACAACUGGA
rnacentral:snoRNA from 1 species